UACGGAGGGGGCAAGCGUUGUUCGGAAUUACUGGGCGUAAAGGGCGCGUAGGCGGCGCGAUAAGUUGGGCGUGAAAGGCCCGGGCUCAACCCGGGGACUGCGCUUGAUACUGUCGCGCUGUGAGUCCGGGAGAGGAUGGCGGAAUUCCCAGUGUAGAGGUGAAAUUCGUAGAUAUCGGGAGGAACACCAGUGGCGAAGGCGGCAACCUGGACAGAUAUUGACGCUGAGGUGCGAAAGCGUGGGGAGCAAACAGG
rnacentral:rRNA from 1 species